CCUCGCUGAAGGUUCCUGGUUAAGAUGGCGUCCCCGGUGGCCAUCGCGGCGCAGGUCGGGAAGCUUCUGCGAGGUCGAGCGCUGCGGCCGCCGCUCCUGGCGGUCAGGUCCCAGGCUGGUCACUUAACCCCCAGAAGAUGGCUGAACCUGCAGGAAUACCAGAGCAAGAAGCUCAUGUCAGAGCACGGGGUGAGAGUUCAGAGGUUCUUUGUCGCCAACACCGCGAAGGAGGCUCUGGAGGCAGCGAAGAGACUGAAUGCAAAGGAAAUUGUUUUAAAAGCCCAGAUCUUAGCUGGUGGACGAGGAAAAGGUGUCUUCAAUAGUGGUUUGAAAGGAGGUGUUCAUUUAACAAAAGACCCGAAAGUGGUGGGACAGCUGGCUCAACAGAUGAUUGGGUAUAAUCUAACAACGAAGCAAACUCCGAAAGAAGGUGUGAAGGUUAACAAGGUGAUGGUUGCUGAAGCCCUGGAUAUUUCUAGAGAAACUUACUUGGCCAUUUUGAUGGACCGGUCCUACAAUGGUCCCGUGAUAGUGGGCAGUCCCCAGGGAGGCGUUGAUAUCGAAGAAGUGGCAGCUUCUAACCCAGAACUCAUCUUUAAGGAGCAGAUUGACAUCUUUGAAGGCAUAAAGGAUAGCCAGGCCCAGCGCAUGGCGGAAAACCUGGGCUUCCGUGGGCUUUUGAAAAACCAGGCUGCAGAUCAGAUUAAAAAGCUGUACCAUCUCUUCCUGAAGAUUGACGCCACUCAGGUGGAAGUGAAUCCCUUUGGUGAAACUCCGGAAGGACAAGUUGUCUGUUUUGAUGCCAAGAUAAACUUUGAUGACAACGCUGAAUUCCGACAAAAAGACAUAUUUGCUAUGGACGACAAAUCAGAGAAUGAACCCAUUGAAAACGAAGCUGCCAGAUAUGACCUCAAGUACAUUGGGCUAGAUGGGAACAUUGCCUGCUUUGUGAAUGGUGCUGGAUUGGCCAUGGCUACUUGUGACAUCAUUUUCCUGAAUGGAGGGAAGCCAGCUAACUUCUUGGACCUCGGAGGUGGAGUAAAGGAAUCCCAAGUCUACCAAGCUUUCAAGCUGCUCACAUCUGAUCCAAAGAUGGGGACCAUACAGAAAACCACAGCCAGUCAAUCUGCAAGCGUCACCAACAUGACGGCCUAAACAUGGACUGAACAAGAAAAACAGACAUGCCAGAGUGGACGGGGAAAACCUUCAAACCUCAGCCCUAUACAAAAACUACCGUUUUUGAGUCGGGGGGGGAAUCUUUCCCAGGGAGGAACACUCCAAUACCAAAGGAUCAGUCUUGUAAACAUGCAAACAAGUAGCAUACACUUAGCAGGUUUUAUUUAGGGAUAUAUAAGUAAGCAUAUACCUAUAGGCACAUGGCAACAAUUAAUGAAAAGGGGGGCAUAAAUUUGAAAGAGAUCAAUGAGGGCUAUAUGGAAGAUUUUAGAGGAAGGAAAAGGGAAAAAAUGAUAUAACUAUACACAUUUAAAAAAAAAUAGCCCCUGGAAUAAGGAGAGCACAGUGAAUUGGGGCCAGGCUGAGCGUGGUGUACACGCUGAGCAGAGGCGUGGGACUGUGAGCAGUGGUGAUGGGAGCAUCAGGUUUGGACGAGGUGGACACUGGUGUGCUAAGGACCACCUAGAGACCAGAAGGAUAGCCACAAGCCCUCCUAGGUAGGUCGAGGAGUUAGGAAAUAAGCACAAGUCUUUCCUUUAGGAUAGCAUUUCCAGGGUGCUGGGGUGGGAUAUAGUGAUUGUUGAAUACUCUGGCCGAUUAACUACAGCAACUGUGCUGCCCAGGUCCAGGGUACCUAAAAUCUCUGAUAUGCCUUGGAGCAAGUUUGCAAGUCUCAUGAGCUGGAAUCUGUGUCCUGACCAGCUGAACGUUCUCUGCCCAGUGGAUUCAGCUUCUCUUUGUGUUUAAGAUUAGUUACAGUAUAAUAUUGAAAUAUUUGAGGAAGUUCAUUCUCCAAUUUUUUCAGUUCUUGAAAAGCUCAACAAGAUUUCCUGUUGCUAAUUGGGCUUUCACACUCAUUUUGGCUCACCCUCAGUGAUAAAAAUCUGUCUGGUUGGAUUUAAUAAUACUGCUGCACUUUUUCUAGUUAGUCUACUGUUAUCGUCAAUUAAUGCGAAUUAAUACAUUUUUCUUGUUCAUGGUGAUAAUAUCUUUUCAAAUAAAGUAUUUAAGACUUAAAGUGUGCAGUAAAUACUAAAGAUACAGUAGUGUAGGGGAUUUGUUCAGUUGCUAUAGGAAAAUCUAAUUUUUCCCCAAAAUGAAAUGAGUCACGCUCGGCAGCAUGAAUAUUGGGUUGGGCUUUGGGGCGCCUCGGGCAGUUCACCAUGUGGCGAGUGCUCCCUCUUCUUCCAAAGCCCCUGAAAGUCAAUGUCCAGAUGAAGCAUGCUCGCUUUCCCGUGUCUGUUAGGUAGCAUCACUCCUUGUCUUUGGAGAACUCCAACAUGCUGGGGGGAAUAGACUUACAUUCCACAGGUAAAAUGGAUAAAGAAAUGUAACCAGAGUGGGCUCCCAAACAGGCCUUGGCAUGGGCUGGAUUUUGAUGGGUCACAUUUACUUUUUAUUUGUAGGGUUUCUCAAUAGAAUUUCGAGAACACCUCCAUAAAACAAAUGUACAACAAUGCAUUUCUGUAAAAACACACAAAAAUACCCAUGUUAAACAGGGUUUCUUUGUUGUAUGCCAUACAGUGCUCCUGUCACACAGCAAUGGAAUUUUACUUGUUUUUUGUUUGGGGUGUUUUGUUUUGUUUUGUUUCCCCAAUACUAGAAUCAGUAACAAAGACAGGAUAACUAGAGUAUACUGAACCCCGUUGUAUACAACUAUGCUGUAUAAGAGUGCUGCAUUCUGACACGUAGUUUUAACAGUUUAUAAGUUGGUCCUCUGCAGGUGAUUCCAUAUCAAGAUUCGGUCUCCAUAUCAAGAUUCAGUCGGCUUACGGGGAAAACUGCUGCUCUAAACUAUAAGCACAUCCAGGCCAGCGGUAUAAGAUUUUGUAGCAAACUGCCCUCCAGUGCCUGCCAUGCAGCAAUUGCUCAAUGAACAUUGAAAAGUCGGAAGAGGAAAACAAACCUCUACUUCUCUGCACUUAUAAAAUUGUAUUUUUUUCUAUAUUCAUUCAACCAGUUGCUUUUUUUGUAAUGACUUGAUAACAUUUACUCUCAUUGUUGGGAUUCACUUUGAAGUGAAUUUUGCAUUUAAUUGUGGUAUUUUAUGGCACUUGCAGUAUUAUUACAUUUGGGAAAUGAGGUAGAAAUCCUACAGGCAAGUAAGUAAAAUGAUUUUUUUAAAAAUUAACUCAGUUUUAUCGACCCUGCAUUUUAGCAUGCAGUUGAGAGUACUUCCUGUUAGCAUCCACAUCCUGAGAACACACAUUAAAUAAAACUAGCCAACCAGAGAACAAUGCAUAUUCAGCAGCUAAUUGCUAGUGAUGAUUGUUUUUUAACCUGUUUCAAAAAAAUAAAAGGAAUACUUAGCCUGUUAAUAGAGUUUUGAGGGUAAAGGGUAAAGGCCCUGCUUCAGGAGCUCAGCAGUCUAAGCUCAGUUACUCAUCCCAGUAGACUAAUUAAGCAACUAGUGGGGCUGAGGAAAUGGCUCCAUGGGUAAAGUGUUUGCUGUGCAAGGAUGAGGACCUGAACUUGGAUCCCAGCUGCAUACAAAGCUGUGCUUGGUGCUGGUGAUCCCUGUGCUAGGAGGAUCCUAGGGGCUCCUUGGCAAACCAUUCUCCCACAGGAUGAGCUCUGGGUUCAGUGAGAGACUGUCUCCAAACUAAAACAGAAAGUACUGAAGAAAGAUACCCGAAGACAACCUCUGGCCUCCACACAUGCACACCCAGGCACAUGUUCCUACACACACUAAUGCUCACAUGUGUAUAUACCAUGCUCACAUCACACACACACACAUACAGCUCAUAAUGAUGCAAAGAGGACAAAGGAUUUGAGAAGUUGAACAAAAACAGGGUCUAGUGACCCAAAAUUCAUCUUCCUGGUACUGAGAUGAGGUUUACGUUUGAAAAGAAGUCAGGUGCUAUGCAUGAUUGAGGAGAUGUAAGCUACCCAUCAUUGUCUCCACUCAUGCUCUGGAAGGUGAUCCAGUUAUUAAACUUCUAUCAAUCACUAGGUGCAGCUGUUGUGUGAGCUGUUGUGUCAUUGUCUGAAUGACCAGAUGGGCAGGUGGGAGAGCAAUGUCUGAUAAGCCAGGCUCUGCUCCUCCUGAAAUCACGGUGGCUCAAGAGGAACAGGCUCAAUGUCUUUGGAUAUAAACCAAAGACAUUGGUUUAUAUCUGUAUAUUUAGCCAAAGUACAGGUACAAAUUCAGGGAGAGACUCCAGGCUAUCUUCCUGCUAUUAGUGACUUUGUGAACUCAAGUGAGGAGUUGACAAUUUUUAGCCAAAGCCAGCUUCUGUAAACCUGUGUGAAGCCUUUAUUUUUUCCAUAUGAAUAAUAUGAAUAAUUACAUAAACUUUUCCAUCGCUUUAAAAAUCCAUCAAUGGACAUGUGUGAUUAAUAGAUAAUCUGGGAUUAAUAAAUUUUCAUUGCACAUAUUUCAGAUGAGUUUUGCUUAAAAUUUGCUUGACUAUUUUAAAUGCCAUGUUCUGGUAACCAACAUACUUUAAGUAUGUGACAUUGUGCUGUCUAAGAGACCUGCACAUACAUGUCACCAGGUUAUUUACAAUUACAAUUAGAGGGAAGUCCACAAUCUGGGUUUGUAUUUUUAUUUUGUCUGGAUUAAAACUGAGAAAUGAUUAA